rnacentral:rRNA from 1 species
GACGAACGCUGGCGGCGUGCUUAACACAUGCAAGUCGAACGGAAAGGCCCUGCUUUUGUGGGGUGCUCGAGUGGCGAACGGGUGAGUAACACGUGAGUAACCUGCCCUUGACUUUGGGAUAACUUUAGGAAACUGGGGCUAAUAUCGGAUAGGAGCUCCUGCUGCAUGGUGGGGGUUGGAAAGUUUCGGCGGUUGGGGAUGGACUCGCGGCUUAUCAGCUUGUUGGUGGGGUAGUGGCUUACCAAGGCUUUGACGGGUAGCCGGCCUGAGAGGGUGACCGGCCUCAUUGGGCCUACGAUACGGCCCAGACUCCUACGUGAGGCAGCAGUGGGAAGUAUUGCACAAUAGGCGGAAGCCUGAUGCAACAGCGCCGCGUGCGGAAUAACGGCCUUCGGGUUGUAAACCGCUUUCGCCUGUGACGAGGCGUGAGUGACGGUAAUGGGUAAAGAAGCACCGGCUAACUACGUG